rnacentral:misc_RNA from 1 species
AGAAAAUAAAGGUGCGCAGACAUUGCUCUUUUUUUUUUUUUUAAUUGACAUCCAUCACAGUCGCCACCAUUAUUUUAAUUAUUAUUAUUAUUUCUUUUUCACUUGGGUCUCUCUCUGCUCCAGCNNNNNNUCCGCACCUUGUUUCUUUGGCUUUGCUCUCUCUCUCGUUGUCUCUUGUUUUUACUUGGGUCCCCUCAUUUCUCCGUCUCUUUAUCGCCGAUCGCAGCAGAAUGGAUACCGGCUACGUUCUCAGCGUCGAGCCUCAGGAGCUCCAA